GCUCACUGGAACAAGUCCAGCUGAAUCCAAACUCUGCAACCAUCAUCCGAGUGAGUCCUGGCCGCCUACAGCUGCUCCCAACUGGUCAGCGAUUAGGUCUGGUGUGACCCGGCCAUUCUGGCCAUGCAAAUGCUGCUGGACUUCAACUACCUGGUCGGCAAAGAGACCGCCGCAACAUUGGUGUUGCCGUGGUGACGUGUACAAACACCAAAACUCUCCGAUAUCUGACGCCAAGAUGGCGACUCGUCUUGUGAGUGACAGCCAGAUGUAGGCGCAUAUUGUCUUAAACUAUAACAUGCCUGAUUGUGCUGAUCGGGUUGGAAUGGCUGGACGUUUUGGUACCAAGGGGCUUGCAAUAACAUUUGAUUCUUCUUCCUCUAGUUCUGAACUUCUGAUGUUCCAAGUCAGGUACAAUAAAGCUUCAAGGUUGACAUAAAGGAGCUCAUUGCUUCCGCGGCUCCCUGUUUCGCCGAGCUGCACCUCAACAUGGACUAUUACGUUCCUGGCCCAUGGCUUCCUCACGUGGCCUCAUACUUUUCUUCCUGUUGAUCCUCGCCACUGU